AGUCAAAGAUACAGAACAAUCACUUUUUGUUCUACGCCACAGAGGUCGACCCCAGGGGUCGACCCCUGUGCAGGGUCAUCCUCUGUGAUAAAAAAUCUCUGUAACAGUUAGUUUUUAAUCCAUUUUGAUCAUAUUUAAUGCUCAUUUAAAGCUCUCCAACGGCUCUAAACCUAUCUAAAUUUUUUUCUAGCAUCUAUUGA
rnacentral:lncRNA from 1 species